GAUGAACGCUGGCGGCGUGCCUAAUACAUGCAAGUCGAGCGAACAGACGAGGAGCUUGCUCCUCUGACGUUAGCGGCGGACGGGUGAGUAACACGUGGAUAACCUACCUAUAAGACUGGGAUAGCUUCGGGAAACCGGAGCUAAUACCGGAUAAUAUAUUGAACCGCAUGGUUCAAUAGUGAAAGACGGUUUUGCUGUCACUUAUAGAUGGAUCCGCGCCGCAUUAGCUAGUUGGUAAGGUAACGGCUUACCAAGGCAACGAUGCGUAGCCGACCUGAGAGGGUGAUCGGCCACACUGGAACUGAGACACGGUCCAGACUCCUACGGGAGGCAGCAGUAGGGAAUCUUCCGCAAUGGGCGAAAGCCUGACGGAGCAACGCCGCGUGAGUGAUGAAGGUCUUCGGAUCGUAAAACUCUGUUAUUAGGGAAGAACAAAUGUGUAAGUAACUAUGCACGUCUUGACGGUACCUAAUCAGAAAGCCACGGCUAUCUACGUG
rnacentral:rRNA from 1 species